rnacentral:rRNA from 1 species
UACGGAGGAUCCGAGCGUUAUCCGGAUUUAUUGGGUUUAAAGGGUGCGUAGGCGGCUCAUUAAGUCAGGGGUGAAAGACGGUAGCUCAACUAUCGCAGUGCCUUUGAUACUGAUGAGCUUGAAUGUACUUGAGGUAGGCGGAAUGUGACAAGUAGCGGUGAAAUGCAUAGAUAUGUCACAGAACACCGAUUGCGAAGGCAGCUUACUAAAGUAUGAUUGACGCUGAGGCACGAAAGCGUGGGGAUCAAACAGG